GUUGCAGUACAUAUUGUGAAAAAAAGGUUACUCGUGUUUUACUGUAAAAUGACUCGCAAUCGUAUUUCAGUUUGCUAGCUGCUCAGAGCACGCUAGCCGUUAGCGUGCUAGCUAACAACUAGUUGUAACUUUGCAACGUUACUAAAGCUUGUAGUCAAACCAAUGACAACUGUUACUCAUAUUUUAGAAUCACUUGUCCUCGUUGUCGCCCACUGCUGCUCAUUUUUGUGGUGACAGACUGCAAACAACAGAUGGACAGGCUGUUAAAGGUAUAUAUUGUAAUAAAACUAAUGCUUCUCGGUAGAUUCUGUUUUUGCCGAACUAAAGAGUGGGUCCUAACCACUUUGGAAACUAGUUAAAUUAAACUCUGUUGGAUGUGUAGUUUGUACCCAUGACCAAGGUCUCAAUACAUUCUUGCAGCACUGUAUAGAGUUCAGUGGGUGUAGCAAUAUAAGUAAGGAUAUCUAUAACUAUUAAAUCAAAGGUUACUGUGUAUUGUGUCUUAGUCAUUUAUAUUGAUGUAGAACUGAUAAAGCCCCUGAGUGAGUGGCAAAACGUCUUCAAGACGAAAAUGGCACGUCCAGUUAUAUUUUCCUUAAUACUUCUAGAUACCCUGUCACCUGUGUGAUGGAGAAUCUGCACAGACUUUGUAAAGACAGCACGACUGGCAUUCAUUUGCAUUAUUUUCUCCUUUACAGACAGCAAGGUAUUCAGCUUUGAUUGCUGGGAUCAUCUAUGG